AUGGAUAAUUUGAAAUCAAUAACUUCAAUACCACUUUUUAUAAAACAGGUCAAUUUACAUAUGGUAAAUAUAGCAUAUACAGAAGUAUACAGCAAAAAUUCAUCUCUUCUUACUCUCCUAUUAGGCAUCAGACUCAACAUGAUGCUUCUCACUCCAUCUCACCACUUAAUGAAGAGACAUUUGAGGGGUGGAAAGAAGGGUAGUUAUGACAGAGACAGGUGUAAGCAAUUCCAUUCCCAAAGAUUGAUGGAAUAGAAAUACACCUACAGAAGCUUUGACCAAUUUGACAUCUUCCUUUUAAAGACCCAGGAAAAAGCAAGGUUAAUCCAGCCACAGGCAGAAAUGCCUCCUCUGACUUUAUAUAAACUGGUGAAAUGUGCAAGAGGCCUGAGAAGCAGCUGAGAGGUCCAGAAAAAAUAAUCAUCUGCUCCUCAUGCCAAGAGGCAACAAGCACUGCAGGUAAGAUAAAGUUCCAGACUUUAAACCCAUGCUCAGUGCAGCAGGCCUGCGGCCAUACUUCCCUUGAGAAGGUACCUUGUCCAUCACUACAAUCAGUUCAACCAAAGCAUUUUAUCCAUUUAUUUAUUUUCAAGUUGUCAACGAUGUUUUAGAAGGCAAAGGCCGACAAAGCUUCUUCCAAAAAAGCCGAAGGGAUUUGUUAUUCCUUUUGAGCAAAAUGACCUGCAGACAUUUUUGCAAAACUACUAAUAAAAAAGCUGAGUGCCAAUAUGUUGGCUGAACCAAAAUAAAGCCUUUUAAGUAUAUACCAAUGUAAUAUGAUGUAAUAUAGUGCCAUUUAGAAAAGAAAUAACUAAUGGGAGCAAAGAGGCUAAACAGAAUAUAAUCAUUUAUUAUUACAUGAACUCAUUCUCUGCCUAGCCUACUGUUUAUUCAUAUCAAGAACUUCUACAUUAUGACAAAAUAGUAUUUGAAAUUAGGUUGUGCACUUUCACUAAAACACACAAAGAAGUAACUAAGAAUUCAUAUAUUCUCCUCAAAAGUCUCAUGUACUAUAUUUUAACAUCUGCAUUAGUUUUUCAUACAUGGGUUUCAGUGUGCUCUUUUCUAUACACAUAGUGUAUUUUAGUCAUGGCCAUUUAAUGGGUAGUCAAUAAACGUUUCUUCAGUAUUUUAGUGAAUAAAAUUAUUUUAGACCAAAGGAUCUUAACUUUGAGUCAAUAUUUAACACACUCAUGAGUCCCUAAAAUUGUAUACAAGGUACUUCUUUUUAUUCUAAAAUAAAAAGUCCAUUUUAUUCCUAUGCAGAAAAUCCAUAUAUUUCCUCAUAUUUCCAAAGGACAUUACUGACUUCCCUCCAAUAAAUGAUUAAGUCCUUCUUCUCUCAAAAAUUUAAAGAUAUAAUCUUUCAAGGCAGUAUGGUAUAGUAGAAAGAGGUCUUAGGACUUACCAAAACCCUCAGAAAACCUCAUACUUCACAGUGAUUUGUUAGAAAUAUUUCUAUUAAAAAAAAAGACAAAGAUGUUGAUUAGGACUAUUUUUUAACACUAUAAUGAGGUCUUAUCCAAUGCAGUAAUAAAAAAAAUUUUUAACAGCAAUUACAAAGAGUAUUAUGUAGAAAUGAUGUUAUCUUCUAUAUAUAAUAAGCAUGAUAAUGCACAGACAAUAGAAUUAAUAUAAGGAUUCAACAAGAUUGCCAGAUAACAAGAUCAAUAUGCUAAACCAAUGGGAGUUUCAAUAAAGGGGGAAAAAAGUAAAGAACACAUAAUUUAAAAGAUUCAUUUACUAAGAAGCUUAAAUUACAAGAACUCUGGAAUAUAUCUAGUAUAUUUUAUAAAAAAUAUAAGACUACAUUAAAGAACAUAAAUAUUGAAUGAAAAGAAAUUUCAUAAAGUAAUAAGUAAAUAGAAAUCUCAUAUAGUUUAUUUUAACAAGGCACAAAAACACAAAUUCUAAAAGAAAACAAUAGGGGCACCUGGGUGGCUUGGUUGGUUAGGCAGCUGACUCUUCGUUUUGGCUCAGGUCAUGAUUUCAUGGGUCCUGAGACAGAGCCCUGCUUUGGGCUCCUCACUCAAGUAUGAAGUCUACCUGAAGAUUCUCUCCCUCUACCUUUUCUCCCAGUGGAGCACACAUACUCUCUCUCAAAUAAAUAAAUAUUCUUAAAAAUUAAAAGAAAAUAAAUAAAAUAAUAAUAAGACUGAUUAUAUUGAAAUCAAUGUUUCUUUUAACAAAUUUUCCCCAUAAGAAACAGUCUAUCCAAAGGAAUCAGAUAUUUUCAAUGUACGUAACUAGUAAAGAUAUAGUAUAUAGAAAACGUUCAAAAUGUUUAUAAAUCAAUAAUUUUUAAAACAUAAAUGAACACAAUGUAUAGUAGCAUUAAGAAUAGGGGUAGACGGGCAUUAUGGAGGCCACGUGAUGUCAUGACAACUGGAUUUUAUCCUACGUGCUGGCAAACUGAAUUUUAAAUAAAAUAAAAUAAAAUAAAAUAAAAUAAAAUAAAAUAAAAUAAAAUAGACAGAUGUAGAAUUCAGAGUAGAAGUAGUUAUAAUGAUUAUUGUUAGCAUUAGCAUCAUCAUUACUAUGGUUAUUUAACGAGGACUUGACUUAAGCAAUCUUUUGUUCUAGUCCCUUCAUUUUCUAGAAUAAGUUGCGAUAGUCCUGGGAGGUCUCAACUCAAAUCACAAAGAUUGCCAAAACCAAAGCACUUUUUUUAAAAUAUCCAAAUCUAAAUUUCAAUCUGUUAACACAAUACUUAAUUCACUGACUCCAAUUAUUAGAUAAACAAAUGCUUUUCCAUGCAACACAAUAAUUAAGAUUUGACCACACACAGUGAAUAAGGGAAAAAAAAAUAUUCAUACCAAAUCGAAAACGGGAUUCAGUAUGGAAAGAAUUAGUUCAGCCUAAGAGUAGCACAGUAAGACAUGACCAGUCAUUUCAACAAUAGCAAAGGAAAACUACAAACUAAAACAGUGUGACAAAUUUGCUUAUAAUUUAAAUCAAACUUUAUCACAUAAUUUUGUGGUUGACAUCUAUAACAAUAGACAUUUAAAAAGGUAUGCAUUUUCAAUAUUUUCUACCAAUAAGAUUAAUGACAUAUAUUAUAAACUUCUGAAAAUACCUGGAAGUCUCAAUGUAUAAUUAUUAUAUAUGAAAAAUGCAUUUUCAUUUAGAUACUAUGACUCCAAUUCACAUUUUACAAGAUAUUAUUUCUUCAAUCAAAUUUUUUGAAGCUGGAGGAGGGGCUAGAUGGCAGAAGAGGAGGGUCCCCAAGUCACCUGUCCCCACCAAAUUACCUAAAUAACCAACCUUCAAAUCAUCCUGAAAAUCUAUGAAUUCGGCCUGACAUUUAAAGAGAGAACAGCUGGAAUGCUACAGUGAGAAGAGCUCGCGCUUCUAUCAAGGUAGGAAGACGGGGGAAAAGAAAGAAACAAAAGGCAUCCAAGGGGGAGGGGCCCCGCGAGGAGCCGGGCUGAGGCCGGGGCGGGUGUCCCCAGGACAGGAGAGCCCCGUCCCGGAGACGCAGGAGCUGCACCGACCUUCCCGGGCGGAAAGGGGCCCGCAGGGAGGUGGAGCAGGACCCAGGAGGGCGGGGAUGCCCUCGGGCUCCCCGGGACAGUAACAGAGCAACUGCGCGCCCAGGAGAGUGCGCCGAGCUCCCUAAGGGCUGCAGCGCGCACGGGGGGACCCGGAGCAGCUCGGAGGGGCUCAGGGGCGG
rnacentral:lncRNA from 1 species